GUUUUGGUGACUCCUCUUAUG
rnacentral:piRNA from 1 species